rnacentral:SRP_RNA from 2 species
GCCGGGUGUGGUGGUGCAUGCCUGUAAUCCCAGCUAACCAGGAGGCUGAGGCAGGAGAAUUGCUGGAACCUGGGAGGUGUGGAGGCUGCAGUGAGCUGAGAUUGUGCCACUGCACUCCAGCCUGGGUGACAGAGCAAGAUUCCGUCUCAA